rnacentral:lncRNA from 1 species
AACUAUGGUGGCUCCAGGUAGGGGCUGAGAGGUGGGGUGGCUCCGUGGGCCGAGGUAGGUCGUAUGGCGGCAUCAGAAGAGCUAGUGAGGCCCUGGUUCGUUCGGAUUUGGCCGGGGUGCAGCGGUGGACGAAGCCACCGGAUGUGGUGAAGAUGACCUCCCCCGGUUGAUUGCUUGCUAUGGGAGCUCUAGAGGGAUGGCAGGGGGUCUUCUGAGGGUUCGGCGGCAAGGUCGGUUCGGCGGCGGCCAUGGAUAAGAAUCAUGGUGAGCCACCACUGUGGCUGCACACGACGUGGCGCUGGUCGGCGCUAUCAAACGAGCUCGCGGAUGAGCUCCAUCUAUUCCAGGGGACAUAUGGCGCACAUUUGUGGCUUGGAUGGCGCUUCCAUGGCAGGGGGCCUGCUGCGGCCGCCGGCGUGCUGCCAAGGAGGGUCUGACAGCGGAGCUGCAAGGCACCAGGGGGCGACCGGAG